GAGAGGGAAGCUCUGGGGGCUCUGGCUGGCGGCUGGGCUCUGCCUGGAGCUGAGUCCCUGCCUUGCCCACGACCUGGUGAUGCCGAGGGCUGCGAGCAGGAUGGCUUCUCCUGCAGCCCAAGAGGCGCAGGGUGCGUUUAACCCCCGCCGCAGUAUUUCCACACGCUUUGCUGUAAUCUCCAGAAUAUACGAUCUCCUCUAAACAAUAUCUGCAGCGCCCCUGGCCCUGGCUGUGUCCUGUGUCUGCUGCGUCUGCCUGCGAGGAGCAGCGAGGACCCUGCCGAGAGAGCUGUUACUUGCAAUGCUUUAAUGAAAGAAGAAGGACCUUGCACCAGACAAGUACUUGCACUGGAUGCAAACCAGCCUCUGCUGGAAGCGUUGCUGCCGCAGAUAAAUCGCGCGACCGCCUGCAUUACUGUGUGCGAUUGCCCACAUCCAUCAACUCCUCUAUCUUGUCUACGGUGUUGGCUGCAUCUUACAGUCUUUGUUAAAUUCACGCUGGGUUUGGCUUUAAACGUUUCUCACAGUGGCAAGCCCAAUGGCUGUUUUAUGGAUGCGAGUGCUUGUUUGUAUUCUGGGACAAAGCAACGGCACACAGAGGGUGUGGAUGUUACUCCACCAGUGACGUGCUUCCCAUUUUUCCUUUUGCCUGUGCGUGCACGUAUUCCAGAAUGGCUGAAUCGAGCUCUGAAAGCUUAAAUGCUGUACGAAUUUAAGAAAAAUCCCAUUCUUAAAAUUAAUCCCUGCGACACUGUAAAAUCAGCAUAAAAGCCGUUAUUUUAUUCCUGAGGAAAGAGUCAGAGCUUUAAAUAGAGAAGAUAUCGAAUGCUGCCGUCCCUCUGACCCCUUGUCUCUCAUGAGACAGCGCAGGUUGCUGCAGCGUCAAGUGACAGACUGACCCCGAACCUGUAACUCCCCCCAGCCCCCCCAAGUAAAAGUGAAAGACUCCCUAGGUUUUUAAAAGAACCCACCUGUACUUUCGGCACCAAGAAAAGCUCCCAGAAGACAAAUGGAGAGUAGGAGGGGGAUUUUUGCCAUCGUCCUCCCAGUGCCCAAACCUCUCGUUAACAAACUGUUCAGGUGGUGGAACUCGGUCAAUAGUUCCAAAGUGCAAGCUCUUGUUUAUUUACGCUGGGUAACCCUUUAAUUUAAGGUCCCCAGAUGUGCCAUUGCUGACACUUGAAAUGGCAGCGUGGAUGAGAUUUGAGGAGGCGCAUCCACGUAUAAGAAACCUGUUAGGUAACUGCAGUCCUUGGGGUCAUCUUCUGCCCUGUAGGAUAUUGCUGCUGGUUUGGAGGCUGAGCAAGGCACAAGAAUACAUUAACCCAGCCUCGGUGACCCUCUUCAAAGCGCUGCAUUUCCCACUCAUAUCCAGGUGACGUUACCGGGCCUAUAAAAUCCAUUAUAGUGUUUUCGGAGGCUUCAGCAGAGUUCAC